rnacentral:rRNA from 1 species
CGAAUAAGCACCGGGCAACUCGGCCACCAACCCCGUAAAACGAAAGGGCCCAAACCGUUACUCGGAAUACUGGCGUAAAGCGCGCCAGCCGGUUAGAUAAGCUAGAGGAAAAGCCUACGGCUUAACCGUGGAACUGCAUCUAGAACUGUCUAACUAGAGUCUGGGAGAGGCAGGUGGAAUUAGUGGUGUAGGGGUAAAAUCCGCAGAGAUCACUAGGAAUACCGAAAGCGAAGGCGACCUGCUGGAACAGUACUGACGCUGAGGCGCGAAAGCGUGGGGAGCAAACAGGAUUAGAUACCCUGGUAGUCCACGCCCUAAACGAUGGAUGCUAGUCGUUGGGGUGCUAGUCACCCCAGUGAUGCAGCUAACGCAAUAAGCAUCCCGCCUGGGGAGUACGGCCGCAAGGUUAAAACUCAAAGGAAUAGACGGGGACCCGCACAAGUGGUGGAGCAUGUGGUUUAAUUCGAAGAUACGCGAAGAACCUUACCUGGCCUUGACAUCCCGGGAACCCUCCAGAAAUGGAGGGGUGCCCCCUUUUAGGGGGAACCCGGUGACAGGUGCUGCACGGCUGUCGUCAGCUCGUGUCGUGAGAUGUUGGGUUAAGUCCCGCAACGAGCGCAACCCUCGCCUUUAGUUGCUAACAGGUUAAGCUGAGCACUCUAAAGGGACUGCCUGGGUAACCAGGAGGAAGGUGGGGAUGACGUCAAGUCAUCAUGGUCCUUACGGCCAGGGCGACACACGUGCUACAAUGGGAAGGACAAAGAGACGCAAUACCGCGAGGUGGAGCAAAUCUUUAAACCUUCUCUCAGUUCGGAUUGCAGUCUGCAACUCGACUGCAUGAAGCUGGAAUCACUAGUAAUCGUGGAUCAGCCAUGCCACGGUGAAUACGUUCCCGGGUCUUGUACUCACCGCCCGUCACACCAUGGGAGUUGAGUUCACCCGAAGCAGGGAUGCUAAAUUGGCUACCUGCCACGGUGGGCUCAGCGACUGGGGUGAAGUCGUAACAAGGUAACCGUAGGAGAACCUGCGGUUG